rnacentral:rRNA from 1 species
ACGGGUGAGUAAUGUCUGGGAAACUGCCUGAUGGAGGGGGAUAACUGCUGGAAACGGUAGCUAAUACCGCAUAACGUCGCAAGACCAAAGAGGGGGACCUUCGGGCCUCUUGCCAUCGGACGUGCCCAGAUGGGAUUAGCUAGUAGGUGGGGUAACGGCUCACCUAGGCGACGAUCCCUAGCUGGUCUGAGAGGAUGACCAGCCACACUGGAACUGAGACACGGUCCAG